AACGAACGCUGGCGGCAUGCCUAACACAUGCAAGUCGAACGGGAUCCUAGCUUCGGUUAGGUGAGAGUGGCGGACGGGUGAGUAACGCGUGGGAACCUGCCCAUUGGUCUGGGAUAACUGCGGGAAACUGCAGCUAAUACCGGAUGUACCCGAGAGGGGAAAGAUUUAUCGCCGAUGGAGGGGCCCGCGUCAGAUUAGGUAGUUGGUGAGGUAACGGCUCACCAAGCCUACGAUCUGUAGCUGGUCUGAGAGGAUGAUCAGCCACACUGGGACUGAGACACGGCCCAGACUCCUACGGGAGGCAGCAGUGGGGAAUAUUGGACAAUGGGCGAAAGCCUGAUCCAGCAAUGCCGCGUGAGUGAUGAAGGCCUUAGGGUUGUAAAGCUCUUUUACCAGGGAAGAUGAUGACUGUACCUGGAGAAUAAGCCCCGGCUAACUCCGUGCCAGCAGCCGCGGUAAU
rnacentral:rRNA from 1 species